GCGCAGGAGGGGGCGCCGCAGCGGCCGGGGCCCCGGGCCCUCUCCCCGCCCGCCCGCCCCGGGCUGGGCUUCGGCGCGCUCCGACGGCGUGGUGGGGCGGCCGGGACGCCUGGCCCGCGCCCGAGAAGCAGGGCAGCGCAGCCGGGCGCCCUGGCCCGUUCUAAAGCGCCCUCCCCGGGUUUCUCUGCGCUUCCACUCUCUCCGCCCCACUUUUCUCGAGCCUGGGCCGUCAGGCCGUGCCAGGCCUCGGGGUGACAAAGAUGGAUGUGUCCCUUUUGUGGGCACUGGGCAUUGCAGACUUGCCCCAAGAAUGGGGCGCCCCAGCCCGCCGCGUCCCGGCACCAGGAAUCCCUCCUGACUCUGCGGUUCUGCGGUGCACCCCAUCCCGCCCGCUCCGGUAUGCGACCCAGUUCAAGUCCGUGCUGUUGGUAACCUGGGUCACUCAACCUUGCCCAGUGUUAUCCUAGCGUUGCUCUCGGCCCCACACACUUGGCGUAAGCAUCCCGAAAAGCCUCAGGGACUAUUAGGAGCUAGAACGCCAGCAAAUGAACUCACUUCUCUGACUCCUGGGAAGAGUGGAGCGCCUGGCCUCACCUCGGGGGUUCCUAUCUGAUCAGUGGGCACUUGGGUGGAUUGCGGCCGUGCCUUCUCUGUGUGCUUAACAACGGGCUUGGCUGGAAACUUCCAGAUAGACGCAGCCCUGCUCGUCUGACUCAUGAGGUUGCCGAGCAUCCUGGGUGGCUCCUAGUGGCCUGCUGGAAACUCCCUGGUGUACUCCAGCCUACCCGCACCCUCCACACCCAGCCUGCAUCUGUGCCUCCUAGCUGUUUCCUGCGCCCUUCCCUCUACCCGGAAUUCCCUUCCCCUCCUUUCAUCUCUGGCAAAUAUUCUAACAGCACCAGAUUGGAAAGCCUUCCCAAGACCCUCUGGGAGCAUCUCCCGCCUCCAGUGUGAUCCUGGAGCACUGGAUGAGAACUUCUGUUCAUGUCAGUUUCCCUCUAGAAUAGCUGUGUACAUCUCUUUCCUCCACUAGACCUUGAGGGCAGGAAUCAUGUGUGUAUUUCAGUGUCUUCAUUGCUUAUGGGCAGGCCAGGUGAGAUGUACAAUGUAUUUGAUUGAAUGAA